CACGUAGGGUGCGAGCGUUGUCCGGAAUUAUUGGGCGUAAAGAGCUCGUAGGCGGUGUGUCGCGUCGGCCGUGAAAACUUGGGGCUUAACUCUGAGCGUGCGGUCGAUACGGGCAUCACUUGAGUUCGGCAGGGGAGACUGGAAUUCCUGGUGUAGCGGUGAAAUGCGCAGAUAUCAGGAGGAACACCGGUGGCGAAGGCGGGUCUCUGGGCUGACACUGACGCUCAUGCACGAAAGCGUGGGGAGCAAACAGG
rnacentral:rRNA from 1 species